GACAGAGGGGGCAAGCGUUGCUCGGAAUUACUGGGCGUAAAGGGCGCGUAGGCGGUCUUGCAAGUCCUGUGUGAAAUCCCUCGGCUCAACUGAGGAACUGCACAGGAAACUGCUUGGCUUGAGUUCGGGAGAGGGAAGCGGAAUUCCGGGUGUAGCGGUGAAAUGCGUAGAUAUCCGGAGGAACACCGGUGGCGAAGGCGGCUUCCUGGACCGACACUGACGCUGAGGCGCGAAAGCUAGGGGAGCAAACGGG
rnacentral:rRNA from 1 species